CGCUGGCGGCAGGCCUAACACAUGCAAGUCGAACGGUAACAGGAAGCAGCUUGCUGCUUUGCUGACGAGUGGCGGACGGGUGAGUAAUGUCUGGGAAACUGCCUGAUGGAGGGGGAUAACUACUGGAAACGGUAGCUAAUACCGCAUAACGUCGCAAGACCAAAGAGGGGGACCUUCGGGCCUCUUGCCAUCGGAUGUGCCCAGAUGGGAUUAGCUAGUAGGUGGGGUAAAGGCUCACCUAGGCGACGAUCCCUAGCUGGUCUGAGAGGAUGACCAGCCACACUGGAACUGAGACACGGUCCAGACUCCUACGGGAGGCAGCAGUGGGGAAUAUUGCACAAUGGGCGCAAGCCUGAUGCAGCCAUGCCGCGUGUAUGAAGAAGGCCUUCGGGUUGUAAAGUACUUUCAGCGGGGAGGAAGGGAGUAAAGUUAAUACCUUUGCUCAUUGACGUUACCCGCAGAAGAAGCACCGGCUAACUCCGUGCCAGCCGCCGCGGUAAUU
rnacentral:rRNA from 1 species